rnacentral:lncRNA from 1 species
UAAACCUUUGCUUGUCCUCAAGCAAUUCAGUUGACAAACUGAAAGUGAUAAAGAAAAACUUUUACAAACUUUGUUUGCUCAUGUAGUUGUAAAUAUGUAAAGCCAGCAUUCAAAUUUUCAGCAAAAAUUACGAACUAACCACAUUCAAAAUAACAUCUAGGUCUCAUAUUUACUCCUAUCGAUGGCAUAAUCAACUAGCGAGCAAUAAUAAUAAAUCUCGGAUGACAACACUUUCUCAAAACAAUCAUAAUAUGAUAUAACUAGAUGGUAUCUCGCUAGCCCUUCCUGAGACCGCAAAACAUAAAUGCAGAGCACCUUUGAAGAUCAAGGACUGACUGGACAUUGUAAUUCAUGGUAAAAGAGAUCCAGUCAUAGUUAUACUGAAUAUAAAUUAAUAGUGAUGGAUGCAAAUGAUAGCGGUGCUCUACAAUUGGUGAUUUUUAAUAAGAGGAUGAUGACUCAAUAUAAAAGUAAAUAGAUAGGCCCUUCGCAGAGGGAAGCAGGGAUUUGUAGAGGUGCCAGAGCUCGAGUUUUGAAACAGAGAUAAAUAAUAUUUUGGGUGGCAUACUUUCAUUUCAACAUAACAACCAAGAGAUCUCGAUAUCUUCCAUGCUACACACAUUAUAGGCGGUUCCCAAACAGAAUGGUAAAGUUUACUCCCCCACCACCAACAAGCAUCAAUCCAUGGCUUACCCGAAAUAACGGAUGCCUCCAACUAACAACAAUUCUGGGGGAGUUUUGUUUGCAAUUAUUUUGGUUUGAGCAUGGGACUGGGCAUCCCGGUUACCGGCCAUUUUCUCGUGAGUAAGGAGUAGAGUCCACUCCUCGUGAGAAUAACCCACCUAGCAUGGAAUAUAUAGACAGCCCUAGUUGAUACAUGAGUUGUUCAAGCAUACAAAACAUAAUUUCAUUUGAGGGUUUAGAGUUUGGCACAUGCAAAUUUACUUGGAACGGCAGGUAAAUACCGCAUAUAGGAAGGUAUGGUGGACUCAUAUGGAAUAACUUUGGGGUUUAUGGAAGUGGAUGCACAAGCAGUAUUCCCCCUUAUUACAAGUGAAGGCUAGAAAGAGACUGGGAAGCGACCAACUAGAGAGCGACAACAGUCAUGAACAUGCAUUAAAAUUAAUCAACACUGAGUGCAAGCAUGAGUAGGAUAUAAAGCACCAUGAACAUAAAUAUCGUGGAGGCUAUGUUGAUUUUGCUUCAACUACAUGCGUGAACAUGUGCCAAGUCAAGCCACUCGAAUCGUUCAAAGGAGGAUACCACCCUAUCAUACCACAUCACAACCAUUUUAAUAGCAUGUUGGCACGCAAGGUAAACCAUUAUAAACUCCUAGCUAAUUAAGCAUGGCAUGAGCAACUAUAAUCUCUAAUUGUCAUUGCAAACAUGUUUCAUUCAUAAUAGGCUGAAUCGGGAAUGAUGAACUAAUCAUAUUUACAAAAACAAGAUAGGUCGAGUUCAUACCAGAUUCUCUCAUCUCAAUCAAACCAUCAUAUAUCGUCAUUAUUGCCUUUCACUUGCACGACCGAACAGUGUGGAUAAUAAUAAUAGUGCGCGUGCAUUGGACUAAGCUGGAAUCUGCAAGCAUUCAAUUCAAGGGAGAAGACAAGGUAAUAUGGGCUCUUGGUUAAAUCAAUAAUAAUGCAUAUGAGAGCCACUCAACAUUUUCAUCAUGGUCUUCUCCUCUCGACCCCCAAAGAAAAGAAAAGAAAUAAAACUAUUUACAUGGAAAGCUCCCAACAAGCAAAAGAAGAACGAAAAAUCUUUUUGGGUUUUCUUUUAAUUACUACUACUACAGGCAUGGAAAGUAAACUAGCUAAAAGCUAUAACUAUUUUUUUGGUUUUUCUUAAGGUUUUUCAAACACAAAAGAAGAAGGCUUAGAAAAGAAAAUAAUCUAGCAUGGAUAGUACAAUGAAAAAGUAUGAGCACCGACAACUAGAAUGAGUGUGUAAACAUGAAUGUAAUGUCGGUGAGGAAUACGUACUCCCCCAAGCUUAGGCUUUUGGCCUAAGUUGGUCUAUGGCCACUGCUGGCCUGGAGGAUAUCCAAAGUGGUAGUUGGGGUUCUACUGAGAUGCAGCAACUACUGCCUCAAGAGCUGCAGCUCUGAGACGAGCUGCCUCCGUCCUCCUCUCAUAUUCGUUCGCCUCCUCCCUAGUUAUAGCAUAUCUCCUUUUUGCCUGAAAGUCCAAGAAAGCAAGAACAGGAAGGGCAACAUGGACAGUGCGCUGUGUGUCAAAGAUUAGUCGGUAUUGGUUGGACUGUUCAUUCCUCUCAAGAAACUGAUGGCGAACCAUAGCACUAUAAUCUAGGUAAGCAGGAGGUAACUCUAUAUCAUUUUCAUGUAUGGGUACAUCAAGAUAAGUAGCUACACGAGUUGCAUAAAUUCCACCAAACAAAUCUCCACUUAUACCAUUGAGAUGCAACCUUCGUGCAACAAUGGCCCCCAAGUUAUAUUGUUUAUCACCUAAGACCGCACUCUUGAGGACACUAAGAUCUGGAACGCACAUAUGACAAGCUUCAUCUUUACCGUUAAUGCAUCUACCUAUAAAGAGAGCAUAAUGUAUGGAAGGAAAUGAAUGCUCCUAUGGUAGCUUGUGUGAUUUCUCUAGAUUUCCCCACAGUGAUACUAGCAAGAAAGUCUUUAUAUUCAGAUUAGCGAGGUUCACUAACACUGCCCCACUGCGGGAGUUUACAAGCAGUAUUAAAAUCUUCCAAGUCCAUGGUAUAUGAUUUAUCAUAAAGAUCAAAUAAAACAGUGUGAGAAUUGCAUGAGGAUGUAAAUUUAAACGUUCUCACAAAGGAAUCAGUUAGGUGGUAGUAUUGGGAGCACUUAUCUGACACGAAGUCCUCAAGAUCAGCAUUACGAACAUACGCGUCAAAUUCAUCCUUAAUGCCUACCUGGACCAUAAACUCCUCUGACGGCCAUUCACAAGACCGGACUUGAGCUUCCCUCGGUGGUUCAUAGUCCGGCUCACGUAUCGCGAGCCUUGGUCCUUGCUUUCUCAAGGAACCACCUUGGUAUGUUUUCCUAUGCAUUUUUCUUUCUCUGAAAAAUUCUGAAAUUUUAGUGAAUCAAAAUAAAAGUGAAGCAAACUCAACAAAAUUGAUAGCAACUAUUCCCACAAGUGCCUAAAGACUAUAUCAUGCAUUAAAACUACUUUGGGCCAUAUAAAUUUGACAUGCAAGCUCAAGAACAGGGUCACCUUAGCAGCAAAAAUUUGCAAUGAAUAAAGCACUAGAACAAAAACUAAUUGGACCAUUGGAGGAGUCACAUACCAAAGAACAAUCCCCCAAAAUAGUUUUGUGAAUGAAGCUUUGAGCAAGGAGAUCGAAAAUCGCAGCAAAACGAGCUAGGACACGAGUUUGAGCUGUGAGGGGAUUUUUUCUGGAGGAAGACGAAGUGUCUAGGUGCUGGAAUAAGUGGACGCAGGCCACAUGGGGCCCAUGAGGCAGGGGGCGCGCCCCAGGGGGGUGGGCGCGCCUUGGACCCCCGUGGCCAGGUGGUUGCUGAUACGUCUCCAACGUAUCUAUAAUUUUUUAUUGUUCCAUGCUAUUAUAUUACCCCUUUUGGAUGUUCAUGGGCUUUAUUUUACACUUCUAUAUCAUUUUUGGGACUAACCUACUAACCGGAGGCCCAGCCCAUAUUGAUGUUUUUUGCCAAUUUCAGUAUUUCGAAGAAAAGGAAUAUCAAACGGAGUCCAAACGGAAUGAAACCUUCGGGAACAUUAUUUUUGGAACAAAUCUUAUCCGGAGAGCCUGGAGUGCAAGUCAAGAAAGCUUCGAGGGCCCCACGACAUAGGAGGGCACCCCUCCCCCCUGUAGGGCGGGCCCCCCUAUCUCGUGGGCGCCUCGGGCGUCCACCGACGUACUUCUUCCUCCUAUAUAUGUCUACGUACCCCGAAAACAUCCAGGAGCACCACGAAACACAACUUCCACCGCCGUAACCUUCUGUAUCCGCGAGAUCCCAUCUUGGAGCCCUUACCGGCACUCUGCCGGAGGGGGAAGCAACCAUGGAGGGCCUCUACAUCAACAUCCUUGCCCCUCCGAUGAGUUGUGAGUAGUUUACCAUAGACCUACAGGUCCAUAGUUAUUAGCUAGAUGGCUUCUUCUCUCUUUUUGGAUCUCAAUACAAUGUUCUCCCCCUCUCUUGUGGAGAUCUAUUCGAUGUAAUCUCUUUUUGCGGUGUGUUUGUCGAGAUCCGAUGAAUUGUGGGUUUAUGAUCAAGUUUAUCUAUGAAUAAUAUUUGAAUCUUCUCUGAAUUCUUUUGUGUAUGAUUGAGUUAUCUUUGCAAGUCUCUUCGAAUUAUCAGUUUGGUUUGGCCUACUUGAUUGAUCUUUCUUGCCAUGGGAGAAGUGCUUAGCUUUGGGUUCAAUCUUGCGGUGUUCUUACCCAGUGACAGAAAGGGUUGCAAGACACGUAUUGUAUUGUUUCCAUCGAGGAUAACAAGAUGGGGUUUAUAUCAUAUUGCAUGUGUUUAUCCCACUACAUCAUGUCAUCUUGCUUAAUGCGUUGCUCUGUUCUUAAUGCGUUGAUUUUUCCCAAGACAACGCAGCCGAGAUGAGAAAUAUUCAAAAUAAGUUGGGGAAAGCCAGCAACAAAAGCCCGAGAAAAACUGAAAUGACGAAGAAAAUAUGGCGAAUAAAUUAGAGUUCCAACAUAAUUAUACAUAGACUCAUACAUGAAAGAUAAACCACAUGCCAGGUUCGACUACUCUCAUACAGGAAACAAAACAUCAUGACUCGUACGACUACAUCCGUACAGCAUCCUGACGACUGCGAAUACUCAGAAACUCUACUGAUCUGCUGGUGCUGCGGGGUCCUCUCCUGAAGCGAACUCGGAUCCUGAACUGACGAGGUUAACUAAGACCUCCGGGUUAAAGGUAACACGAUGACGCUGCCUCGAGGGCUCUCCCUCAGGGCAGGUGUAGGGUGAAGCAUCGGGGCAAUAGGAGUAGUGAGAAGUGAAACCCACUCAGCAGGAGCACUGAGGGGAUUCACGGUCGAGGCGCCUGAGCUACUCGGGGGAGUAACCGGUGAAACAGGGGAACUAGAACUGGCUGGAAUAUAAGGAGUAAAUCCCAUAUAUGCUGGAGCAGUGACAGAUCUAAUAGAGGCUAAAGCAGUACGAGCACGAGUCAGCUCUUGAGCCAGCUCGUGGAACAUAAGAUAGCUAGCAGUGAUAUAACGAGAAAGGUGGCUAACAACACUAUCAGACUCCGGAUCAAUGAUAGGGAAACGGACACGGCCAUUGUCGUGUAGAGAAGGAUAGUAGUAGAAACCUGGGUGGUUCUGCAUCCAGACCUCGUUGUAACGAAGCUCGACAAGGACCUCGGAUGCAGCAAACUGGACAGCCUGAGAAGCGGUAGAAGCGUAAACAUUCUGAGAGGUACGAGUGUAAGUGCUGGAAUCGGAACUGGUGCACAGAGUAAUCACUAUGUGAUACUCAUACACUGAGUCUGCUAGACGCUCCCGGUACACACGAUAGGCUGGGUCAUCACCGAGAGGAUACAACCGACACCACACGUUACGAAGGAGAUGCGGCGACGUGUACGACAUCAGCUGCAACUGGCACGGAUACGGUACUGGAGCCAUCUACACUCACAACCAUUAGUAGGUUAGCAAUAAAACAAGUGCAUGCAAUGCAACAACCAGCUACAAAUGCUACCGGCAGUCAACUAAAACUCAUAUCUAACGUCCAGUUAACACGUUGUAGUCUAGCAUCGCCUACAGUCAGCACGGCUCUGAUACCAAGCGUUGUGGCACCCCAGCUCAGAGCAACAGGUUUACCAUGCAUUGCCAGCCCAGAGACCAUGUCUUCUGGCAACACACAACAUCUUGGUACAGAAAACAAUCGCUUUAUUGAUGCUAGCGGAUCAAAUUUUAUAUUACAAUAGGUGGCGAGGCCAAGCGGCACACUUGGUGCGGCUGAACAAUAUGUACAUUAUUUAGUGAACAUAAAGGGGCCUCGAUCAUAACAACUACGCGGCAGCGGAGCAACAUCGUAGCAGAAACUCCAUACCACAGGGACACCACGACGUGGACACGAUCUAGACUCGGACAACACUCCUUUCCCACGAGACUUUCCUAAAAUCUGGCAUACACUACAAAAAAAUACACAUCCGUGACAUUUUGGGCCGAACGAAAUUUUUUUCUGUCAUACAUAUGACACUUCUAUGACGAUAAUUGUGACAAAACCCGGUAUUAUCAUAGAUGUGGUGGGCUCCUACUUCUAUGACAAAAAAUCAUGACAGAAAAUGGGCUUUUCGUCCUAGGCGGGCCGGAGACGUAACUGCAUGACAUUCUUUGGGCCGUCCAUGACGGGAAAAACCGUGGUAGAAGCAAGGGGGAGGAAAAUUUCGUGGAGUUGCCGGUUACGGUGGGAGGUCGGGGGCCGAGCGAUGCGCGUUUCUCUCGUACACGUACGCGCGUGUGUGCGAGGCGUUGGCUCUAAUUGAACCCGAGCGAGGCGUUGGGCUCUAACUGAACCCGAGCGACUGCACUGCAGGCUACGCGUUACUGAACCCGAGCGUUCGAUCGAUGGAUAUUAACUGAACCCAAUGGAGCGAUUCCUUUGCUACUGCUGCUAACUGAAGCCGAUCGAUUGGAUGAACAGUGAGCGUUGCCGGGGGGGUUGGAUGAACAGUGAGUGAUGGCGUUGCCUCUGGAUGAACAGGACCCCGUGGUGUGGAGGGCUGGAUGAAUAGUAGACGGUGGAGGGGUGGCCGUGGAGGGGUGGUUGAACAGAACCCCAUGGUGUGGAGGGCUGGAUGAACAGUAGACGGUUGAGGGGUGCCCGUGGAGGGGUGGUUGAACAGUAGCCGGUGGAGUAGCACGCGGUGGAGGCUGGAUGAACAGGAGCCCGUGGAGGCUGGAGGAGGUCGACGGUAGCCCGUGGAGGCUGGAGGAGGUCGACGGUGGAGAUGAACAGUAUCCCGUGGAGUCCCGUUUUGCGGUACGCCACACCCCUCCUGAUGAACAGGACCCCUGUUCGACCGUAGCACUCCAACACAAGUCCGUUUCGUCCGUUUUGCGGUACGCCACAUCCCUCCCGAUCAACAGGACCCCUGUUUCGACCGUAGGAGGUCCGUUUCGUCCGUUUUGCGGUACGCCACACCCCUCCCGAUUAACAGGACCACCGUUUCGACCGUAGGAGGUUCGUUUCCUCCGUUUUGCGGUAUGCCACACCCCUCCCGAUCAACAGGACCCCGUUCCGAACAUAGGAGGUCCGUUUCCUACGUUGUGCGGUACGCCAGGCCUCGUUUCCAUCGCCUGUUCCGUCCAAGCCCUCCCAAUGAACACGACCACGCAUUCCGUUCCGACCCAGCCGGUUGGUACCCAUGAACACGACGACAACGCUGUUUCUCCGUUCCGACCCAGCCAUGUAUGUAUGCGCGAGUAGGCGUUCGAGACCCUGCCCGUAUGUACGUAUGUGGCCAUAUUUUCUUUCUUGCACCCUCGCCGUUGUACGUACGUGUACAUGCUACGUGCGUGCCUCUACUACGACAUGUGCGCGCCUCUACUACGACACGUGCGUGCCUCUACAUCGACCAGUAUGUACGUACACGUUCAAGACCAGAAUGACAAUGCUACGUACGCUUCGACCAGGUGGGUCCCGACUAUUAGGCACUUUCGUGCCUGCAAAGAUGUGGCUGGUGGGUCCCAGCAGUCUGGGGGGCGAAUCAUUUUUUUUGCCCAGACGCACUUCCUUGCGUCCGAAGAUGUAGCUGGUGGGUCCCAGCAGUCAGGGGGGCGAAACAUUUUUCUUCGGACGUACUUCCUUGCAUGCGAAGGUGUAGUUGGUGGGUCCCAGCAGUCAGGGGGAAACAUUUUUUUCGCGAAAUACGGUGGCCCGUCCGGUGGGUCCCAGCUGUCAGGUGGAGGAAUGAUUAUUUUGCAUGUGAUAAGGAGGCUCUUCCUUGCAGUCGUCGUGGACCCAGCUGUCAGCCUCUCCACGCAGAGUACUCUUCCGAUGGAAGUCGGUCGUUGACCACAUUGACCAUGCCGCGCCGAGAGCACCAUGGCGGUGGACGAUGGCGAGGCCUAGGAAGGGGACGACGCGGAGCCGGGGAAGAUACAACAGUGGAUGCCCACGCGAAGAGGAGUACGAGGGUGAGGCUGCCGUCGCUGCAGAAUAAUAGGGGGUGUGGGUGAGUAGAGGGAUGGCCUGGCCAGCGGUGGGAGUAGUAGGGGCGGUGAGGCCUCCGCGGCAUCAUAGCCGGCCACGGGAGGCAGGAACACGCGGCACGACCGGCGCUGCUUUGGGCGGCUGGAGCACGAAGACCAAAGGUUGAAGAAGCACUACGGUCGUUGGAUGGACAUCGUACGGUCACUGGAGCUAGAGUCGUUCAUAUUGACUAAGUUGACAAAAGCCCUCCAUCCCCGUAAACUUAGUAGGCCCACAAGUCAGCCUCCCACCAAGGUGAGUCCCAGCUAGCGGGGGGAGUAUUCAUUUUUUUGUGCGUAAUAAGGAGGCAUUUCCAGUGGGUCCGAGCUGACAGCGGGGGGAACAUUUUUUUCGCGAAAUACAGAGACCCUUCCGGUGGUCCCAGCUAUCAGGUGGAGGAAUCAUUAUUUUGCAUGUAAUAAGGAGGCAUUUUCCUGUGUGGGCCCCUACUGUCAGCCUCUUCCGAUGGCUGUUGUUUGUUGACCAUGUUGACCUUGCCGCGCCGAGAGCACCAACGCGGUGGACGAGGGCGAGGCCCAGGAAGAGAACCACCCGAAGUCGGCGAAGCCACCACAGCGGAUGCCCACGCUGAGGGGAGAAUGAGCGCUGACUGGUCGGCUGCGGGGUGAGGCUGACGUCGCCGGAAAAUGACAGGAUGUGUGGGUGGUUAGAGGGAUGGCCUGGCGGCAGCACAGCCAGCAACGGGAGGAGGGAGUAGGCAGUCCCGCCGGCGCUGGUUUGGGCGGCUAGAGCAGGAAGAUCAAAGAUUGAAGAAGCACGGCGGCCGUUGGAUGGACAUCCAACAGUCACUGCUGUGUGUUGACUAAGUUGACAAAGCCUUGCAUACGCGUCAAAAAAAAUUUAGGACAGCGUCAUCGUCAACCUAGUAGGCCCAGAAGUCAGCCUCCAAAUCUGUGGAAAACAGCAUACAGCCCAUUAGCCAUUAUUUUCAAUAAUUUAUAGCCCAUUUGCUAAUUCUUAAGGAUAUUUGAAGCCCAUAUUCUUUCUAUUAGCAUUACAGACCAUAUAUUCUGGGCACUGCUAAAAAAUUCAACGAAAUUUUGCAUAUUUUGGUUGGGUCCGAACUCUUUUAAUCACGAAAUUUCAAGUCACGUUAAAAAUAGUUUUCAAAAAAUUAUAUCAAAAUAAAAUUCAAAAAACAAUUCUCCGCAAAAAAAUGAAUGAAAUUUAGAAUCUUAACUAGCAAGAUGCCCGUUCGUUGCACGGAACAUGAAGAUGCAUUUGUAUGAGUAGUUUAUCUUGUGGGAGAAAAGAUGAUAUUUUAAUGUAAUUGCCAGUUGGCUUUGGUUUUUAUAAGAGUAGAGAGUAGAGAAAUCCUGAAAAAAUGAUAUUUUAAUGCAAUUGCCGGUUGGCUUUGGAUUAAAAAUUUACAGCCCAUUUCUUACAGCUUAUAGCCCGUUUUCUGGGGAAGCCCAUUUCUUAUCCCUCCUCGUCUUGAAAGAUUUGCAGCCCAGCAGGGCUGAGAAAAGCAAGUAGGCCUCGGUUUUGGUAUUCUCCAAAAAAAAAGAACUGGGCUAGCCAAUUUCAGAAAGAAAAAAUAUAUCAGCUGGGCUCAUCAUGUGCUUAAUAAAAGUGUAAGCGUGGGCUAGACGGGCCACAGCCCCCGCACAGCGCGCAGUUGAGCUCCGUCUCUGAAACUAAAAAACAACUGGGCGAGCUGCUGGGUCCCUGGUGUUAUCCGCUUGUUGUGUAAUUUUCUCGUUUAUUGACUACAUUGACAAUGGUGUGGAACCUAGUUGUCAAACAAUUAGGAGGAAGUAUUUUUUUUGGCUUGUAAUAACGAGACACCUGCUUGCGAAAUGCAAUGAGCCUGGUGGGUCCCUACUGUCAGCCUCUCGACGUACAGUCAUCUCCUGAUUCCUCUUGGUUGUUGACGAUGUUGACAACGCCAGACGGCGGCAGGCACAGCGAGCUAAGCAAGGCGAAGAACGACGGCAAGGCCUCGGACAGGAACGAACAGCAGCCAUGGAAGAUGCGGCAGUGUAGUGGCAGGUGGAGGGGAGUACGAGGGCAACAACAUGCAAGUCAAGCAUACAAAUGGUACGAAAAGCCCGAGGAUUAAUUGUUCAUCAAAUUUUUAGACAAAACCCAGAUUGAACAUGAUAGUAACAUCUAACCCAACCACUCUUUUUUGCAGUCACAAACAAAUGGAUUGGUCUGAUCCAUAAAAUCAACAUCCUGUGCAAAAAAAAUUAUUACAGGAUGUCUACAACUUAUUGUAAAUAUAAGCCGAGCACGUUUAGAAGCCCAUUUGUCCACCUGAAACUUCUUUUUUUGCUGUUCAACAUGUUCAUCUGUGAGAAAUCUCUUGCUGUAAAAAUUAAGCCUCAUGGACAAUAGUAACCUCGCGUUCAACAGGAAGAAUGUGACAAAGCUUCUGUUUGCCUGGUUGGAUGCAUAUCGUCCCAUCAUUAUUGUCCUCAAACAAAUGUCAUGAGAACUGAGAAAAUCCUUGUGCUUGUUACGCCAACAAUUGGUUAUAUGUUUUUCUCCAUGUGGUUCUCCCUAAGUAGACAUGAAGAUUGAAAACAGUUAAGGUCUAAAAAAAGAGUAUGUCGAAAGAACGACAACUGAAUAGUUAAUUCUAGUAUAAUAUAUACGGGCUUUCAAUGUGCAUGAAAUCAUCACCUCUAUGUAUAAAUUCUCCAGAGAUCGAAAGCAUCGCAGCAAGCCAAUAAUUAUGUCCAGAUCAAAACUAUACAUACUGAUAUAUAUGAUCUUGACAGAAUCCAACAGCAUUAAUAGGCUAUCAAUGGACGAACUCUUCAUUGAGCAUAUAACAUAAUAUUAGUACCCAAAGUGUACUCAAGAUGAUUAAAACUUAUGUGCACAAAUGAAAAAUGCAGCAUUUGAUUACAAAUGUGUAGAUGAUCAUAUACGGUACCUGAAAAAGUGAGGAGCCAAACACCAACUCCUUGUGAUUAUUCAACGGGUCACGAAUUACACCCAAGGUCUCCAGUUUGGGCGCAGAGACGACAAUUAUUUCUGAAGAUGUAUAACAAUUAUGAAGGAGCAACCUUUCAAGUGAAGGGGCAUCUUCGAUGAUGAGCUGCUAUCCUUUAAAACAAAUUCCAAUGCUUUUAAGGUGAGGCGACUUUAUUUGGAGACAACUGAUACCGAUUUCUAUUCCCAAAACAAUCAGCAAGCGCUCCAGGGCAGGGCAACUGGAGUGGAUGAUGCUGUGCAGUGAGGCCUCCGACAGAUAAACCACCACAAGCGAAAGUUUUUUUAGCAGUGGGAGUCGAAUCAUUUGUACCAGAUCGUAUGGUAGAUGGCACCGGGCAAAGGUGGCAGUGUGGAGAGAGGAGGAAAACCGCGAGAUGGACAACGGUGGUGUAGGAACGUAUUUUUGGUAUGUUCGUGGCAUGAAACUUUCGUGGUAAUGGUAGAACUCAAACUGCUGGAGUUUUUUGAAUUCAGGGGAUGUCAGCCAAGCAUCCACCUUGCCGGGUAUGGACAGCAGGUAGCUUGUCGGGAUGCAGAGGCAUUGAACGAGGCCCUGCUGGCGAGAAGAGACGAUGGCUCUGAUGAGAUCAAAUUCAGGAAGGACAGAUAUCUGACGACAGUCUAGAUUGAGGGGCGCGGUGCCCCAUAGAGGGCGCCAACGAGUUGAGAGGACUUGUGUGCGGCAGCAAUCCUUGGUGGGGAGAAGCGAGAUGAUCUCCUCAAGGAUAACGCCCGGGAGAACGCUGAUGCGGUCCACCGAAGAUUCUACCGGUUCCUCAGAUCCGGGUGGGGGGGCUCGCCGUUUCUCCCUGUGCUACCGGGUGUGGGAUCUACAACCGGCAUCGCCGCUGGCGGGAGCCUCAUCUUCUUGGCGCUAGGGCCAGCCGACUCCAUUUUCCUUGUGGGCGUCGCACCGAGCUCACGGGUUUGAGCAGAGUAGCCAGAGACGAGCCUAGUGGCAGUGCGAGUGGGGAAGAAGGAGGGCUGGGGAUUUCUGUAGGAGUGGAAGAAGAGGAGCAGGUGUUUUCUAUACGAGUGAGGAAGAAGGUGAGCGGGGUUUUCUGGACGAGUGAGGAAGAUUGGGGAGCAGGGAGAAUUGGGUGGGGAGACGGAAGCGGGAGAGCGAGCUCUUCAUGUUUAUAAGGCCCGCUGCACUAACUACUCGCUUUUUCCCAAGAACCGCUCUCUUCUUUUGCGUUGGUGCAUGACUGGCCAUGCAUGCAGGAUGCAUGUGCCCGCCAGCCACUGCAUGCGCCUGGUUUGUUACUAGGCCUAUUUAAUAGGGUGGUUAUGGAGUAAAUUAAGGAGAUUUAUUUUCUCUGUGUGCAUCCACCAAAUUAGAGGAUGCGGUACUGGAUGCAGACACUCACAUUAAACUAACAUUCAGAAGAACAAAAGUUCAGCAUGUCUAUGCAUCUCAAUGAUUCACCAUACUAUAACCAAUAUACAAAGCUGUGAGAAGGUGUGGAAUAAAGAAAAUUGUCAAUGCUUCUCUGAGCAAAGGGCCUCCCUGCGCAUGCAUUAAUUUCCUAGGCAUGCUUGUUUCUUCUCAAUGUCGCGAGCACUUUGAGUAUGUUGGCAACUCCACAGCUAGCUAGCUGCCUCAUCUUGCAAUUGAUGCUGACACAUUUGCAGCAAACACAUGAGGCAAUAGAGAUGACUCAACAUGGGUCCAUAUUGUGCAGUUCCCCUGAUAUCAUAUUCAUUGUCCUGAAUCUGAAAAGAUAGGAAAACAGUAGCUAUAAUUAAAUGGUGUUGCAAAAUAGUAGCACAUAUCAAUAGCUCGGCGUGACAAAACACGAUCAUCUGGACUAAGGGGAUACUGACCUGCCUGAGGAAGAUUACAUAUAAUUUCAUAAGUCCUUGGUUGAUUUCCAACUUCGGCUGCACUGCUUGUUUGCUCCUCCACACAUGACAGGAUCGUUCCGCACUGCAUUCAGCAAGUCAACGUACGAAUAAGCUAAUUUCAUCUUGCGGUGGUCAUUGUACCUAGUUACGAAUGUAGGAAUACCUGGAGCACCAUGAGGUUAGCUGACAUCAGGUAGAUGCAGCCAUAUAAAUUUUGUGCGGUGCUACCAAAAUUGAUGUUUGUAUUCCUUCCCGUUAUGAGAAUUCUUCUUGAAGUUGGUAGAAUGUGACGGCUUGUUCUUUGCAUCAAACUUGCCUUUCCCCUGAGAUUUGUUCUUGUUGUUUUUGGGCUGGUUGGGCUGGAAGGUCUUCUCGUGUACCAUGUGGGCACUAGAAGCUCCUUCGGCAACCCGAGCACGUGUGUCUUUUGCUCUCGCCUUCUCCUCAAAAUCAAGAGUGCUAAUGAGAUACAAAACAGAAAACUCAUGUCUCUUGCUUUUCACAUAAGUAGCAAAAUCGUUCCACGAAGGUGGAAGCUUGGCAAUGAUGGUCCCAGCAACAAAUUUGUCCGGCAACACACACUUAAAGUACUCAAGUUCCUUAGAGAGUGCUUGUAUCUCAUGAGUCUGCUGAACAACAGAGCGCUCAUCAGUCAUCUUGUAGUCACAGAAUUGCUCCAUGACGUACAACUCAUUGCCAGCGCCCGAGGGCCCAAACGUGGCCUCGAGCGCAGCCCACAUGUCUUUGCCGCUGUCAAACGACAUAUAUGAAUCCACAAUGGAAUCGUCAAGAACACUCAGUAGGGCGGCUUUGAAGAGGUGAAAGUGCAACUAAUCCCCGGGUGGUUUUGGUAAUUAAUAACAACAUAUAUAUCAUUGAACUAAUAGUUACUUGAGAAUCAUUUCAGAAAGUUCAGUGAUAUGGGUAUGGCAAGGACUGAAGAAGUGGACCCCUCAAAAUGCUAAGGCAAGCAUUGGCAAAAGCUCAAGACUCCAUUUUUGGUUUAGUGAUCCAAGAUCACAUUGAGUCCAUAGGAAAAGCCAAUACUAUUAAAAGGGGAUGAGGUUAUGAUGAUGAUCUGGUUGCUCAAGUGCUUAGUGAUACAUCUCCUAAACUAUCAGCAAUUUUCACUGCUAUAUACACUCAUAAGUAGUCUCGGUCCCACCGAUAUUCCAAACUCAGUCACACCGAGAUGAACCACCUCAGCCAUAAGCCAAACCCAAGAAAACUCGGAUUUUCCGAUUCUGAACUCGGUCUCACCGAAACAUGAGUUGCCAAGCUUCUGUAACCUUCUGUCAUCAAAUCGGUGUCACCGAGAUGAUGAAGUCGGUCCCACCAAAACUGGCAUGCUCUUGUCAUUGCACGAAUCGGACUAACCGAGAUUGUAUUUUCGGUCCCACCGAAAAUCCCAACGUUCACAUUAUUUGAACUAUCGGUCUCACCGAGUUGUCCACUUCGGUCCCACCGAGAUUGCUCAAAUGUGUGUAACGGUUGGAUUUUGUGUGGAGGCUAUUUAUACCCCUCCACCCCCUCUUCAUUCGUGGAGAGAGCCAUCAGAAAGAACUACCACUCCUAUCUUAUAUUUCUGAGAAGAGAACUACCUACCCUUGUGUUGAGAUCAAGUUGCUCCACUCCCACCAUAUGAAGCUUGAUCUCUAGCCUUCCCAAGUUGCUUUCCACUCAAUCCUUUCUUCCACCACAGCCAUAUCAGUGAGGAGAGUUGAGUGUUGGGGAGAUUAUCAUUUGAAGCACAAGAGAAAGGAGUUCAUCAUCAUCUACAACAUCUAUUACCUUUUGGAGGGUGGUGCCUCCUAGAUUGGUUAGGUGUCGCUUGGGAGCCUCCGUCAUCGAGAUGUGGAGUUGAACCAAGAAGUUUGUAAGGGCAAGGAGAUCGCCUACUUCGUGAAGAUCUACCCCGAGUAAGGCUAGCCCUCCGUGGGCGUAGGCCAUGAUGGAAUAGACAAGGUUGCUUCUUCGUGGACCCUUCGUGGGUGGAGCCCUCCGUGGACUCGCGCAGCCGUUACCCUCCGUGGGUUGAAGUCUCCAUCAACGUGGAAGUACGAUAGCACCACCUAUCGGAACCACGAGAAAAAUCACCGCGUCUCCAAAAUUGCGUUUGCUCUUCUCCACCUCUCUUUACUACAUGUGCAAUUUACUUUCCGCUGCCUAUACUCUAGAAUUGCAUGUGUAGGGUGAUGCUUGACUUGAUCAUAAGUGUGAAUCUGCCAAAAACUGUUCUUUAUCAAAAGGCAGAAUUUUUAUAUUGUCAAGUAGUCUAAUCACCCCCCCUCUAGACAUACUUUCGAUCCUACAAGUGGUAUCAGAGCUUUGGUCUCCGUUGUAUUGGUUUCCAUUGCAUUGGACUCCAUAAGCUUGGUUUCACAACCUAGGAGAGUAUGGCGUCUAGUGAGGGUAAUUUUCGUAGAGGUCCUUACUUUGAUGGUACAAAUUUUGCUAGUUGGAAGCAUAAAAUGAAAAUGCAUAUUCUUGGUCAUAAUCCAGCCGCAUGGGGCAUUAUUUGUGUUGGUAUGCAAGGUGAAUUCUUCGAGGAAGGAAAAGUUCCAGAUCGCGAAGCUACAACUGAAGAAUUGCGGAUGUUGCAAAACAAUGCUCAAGCUUGUGACAUUCUCUUCAAUGCCUUGUGUCCCGAGGAGUUCAACAAAAUCAGCCGUCUUGAGAAUGCAAAAGAGAUUUGGGAUACUUUGGUUGAAAUGCACAAAGGUACCGAGUCCGUGAAGGAAUAAAAGCUAGAUAUUCUUCAAGGUCAACUUGACAAGUUCAAGAUGAAGGAUGGUGAAGGAGUCGCUGAAAUGUACUCUAGGCUUGCUCUCAUCACAAAUGAGAUUGCCGGCUUAGGAAGCGAAGAAAUGACCGACCGAUUCAUCAUCAAAAAGAUUCUCAGAGCUUUGGAUGGAAAGUAUGACACCGUGUGCACUUUGAUCCAAAUGAUGCCAAACUACAAGAAUCUCAAGCCAACCGAAGUCAUUGGAAGAAUUGUUGCUCAUGAGAUGACACUUAAGGAUAAGGAAGAGCUUCACAACAAGUUAAGUGGUGCUUACAAAGCUACAAGUGAUGCUCCCACAACCUCAAGUGACAAGUUAGUUUCCAAUGAAGAGAUAAGCCUAAUGGUCAAGAACUUCAACAAAUUCUACAAGAAUAGAGGCAAAGAGAGAAGCUCAAAGUCUAGAUCAUAUGAUGAAAAGAGAUCUUCUAGUCGUGAUCGAAACUGCUACAAUUGUGGAAGACCCGGACACUACUCAAAUGAGUGUACGGCUCCCCACAAGAGAAGAGAAGAAUCUCCAAGAAGAAGAAGCUCAAGAGAUGAGUCACCUCGGAAAGAGAGAAGGAGCAGAGAUGAUCGUUAUGAACGAAGACUCUCUCGGAGAAGCAAGGAUUCGGAGAGGAAAGACAAGUCAUCAAGGAGCUACACAAGAAGAAAACAUCAAGCUCAUGUAGGUGAAUGGGUCUCCGGCUCCGACUCCGACAAUCAAUCCGAAGGAAGCUAUCACUCCGACUCCGACUACAGUCAAGAUGAAGGUGUUGCCGGUCUUGCUCUCGUAUCCUCCAACUCCAACUCCUACGACUUAUUUGAUUCACCAAAUGAGGGAAUUGGAAGAUGCUUCAUGGCUAAAGGCCCCAAGGUAUCACACCCUGAAUUCAUUGACUUCAAUAGUGAUGAGGAUGACUUGCUUGGUGAAGAUGAGCUCUUGCUUGAUAAAUCCAGUGAGCCUAGUAAUGAUGAACAUGCUAAUAGUCUUUAUAGUCGAGAAGAGUCGAAUGACAAUGCUAUGAAGGAGAUUGAGCGUCUAACUAAAGAACUAAACACUCUUAAGUUAGCUCAUGAAACAACUCAAGAAGAUCAUAGAGAGCUCCUAAGAUCUCAUGAGAAGCUACGCUUCGAGAAGCUCACUCUAGAGCAAGAACAUGAGUUUCUAAAAGCAAUCAAUGACGAUCUUCGAAAGAAGAGUUCUUCAUAUCUUGCCAAACGACUUCUCUUGUCUAAUUUCUUGCCACCCAUUAAGACUAAGCAUGACAAGCAUAAGAAAAAUUCUUCCUCUAGCAGUAACAAUAACCAUGCUAAAUCCAAUGUUGUUGCUUCUAGUAGUUCUCUUGAUUCCACUAACAAUGUUUCAAGCCAAGUUACACUUGAGCAAGAAAAUAGUUUAUUGAAAGGGAUUAUAGAGAAAGGUGUCUACAAGAGCCUUGCCGGAAGCAAGAACUUUGAGGAAAUUGUUCGCAAGCAAGGAAGGCACCGGAAGAAUCAAGGAAUUGGUUUUGAGCAAAAGUUCAAUGCCGAAGGCGUUGAGUGGGAAGAAGGUCAAUAUCCUACUCCAUAGUUUGUUCCUCAAAAGGAGAAGUACGAUCCUACUUCUUCCAAUGCGGAACAAGCUCAAGAUGACCUUCCACCACAAGACCACAAGCUAAAAGGCAAGGACAAGCUUCAAGAGGAGAUUGAUGCAUUUGUUGAAGCACCUCAAGCCAUGGUCAAGUGGGUUCCCAAGGAAACGUCAAGUUCUACUUCGUCAAGCUCAACUACAACCCCAAGGAUUCCCAUCAAGAUGAUGUGGAUCCCGAAGAAGAAGAACUAGAAAGUUCUUGAGGGUGACUCCGCCAACAUACUUCACUCACAUUCAUUUUGGAAAAAACUUGUGCAAUCAACUUCCACAUCGUGCACUAGUUCAUGGAGUCACAAACCCUCUUGUUGGUAUGUCAAGGGACAAGGUAAUCAUUGCUUUCAUGGACAUCAUAUGUCGUGAACUUCAAUCUAUGUCCAUGGAUAUCCUUGUUUGUUCCUUGUGGGACUAACCCAUGUAGGUAUUGAAAGUGCCCGAAUCCAAAGGAUAGCUCCCAACACUUGAUGAUCUCCAUCAACAUUGAGCAUCUACAUCUUCAACAUCUACAUGAAGUCUUCUACGACAACCCAAGGUUAGUUUGACCCUUUAAAAGGGGUUCUCACAUCUAGGGGGAGCUUUGCUCUAAAAAUUGAGCUAAAGCAUCUUCAAAUGAUGUGAACACAUCAAUGCUUUAUGUAAAAGUGGUAACCCCACUUGUGCUUAAACGAUGAGUAUGACCUAUGAUCAAAUGUUCUCAUUUGGCUCCUAAGUCAAUAUACUCAUAUAAAGAUGACCUAGUCAUCGACAAAUUGUGUGUUAGUAGCUAGAGUUUUGGUUGUGCAUGUUUGACACAUAUUUCAUUUGCUAUCUUAUUGUGUGAGCAUGUUGGAUGCAUGAUUUCAUCCAUUCGAGGACAUCCAUUUGUUGUUUUGGUCGUUUUGAUUUUUCUGACCAAAUGGAUGGACAAGAAUGCCUAAGUACCUCCCCUAGCUAUCUAUGUUUUCUUGUCUCAAAUUCUAUUCAUGCUUACAUCACAAACUUUGAACAAGUCAUUUUCGGACCCUCCGGGUGAGGAGCACUCGGAGCCACCGAUCCGUCAAGGGCUAACUUCCAAAACCUUCUAAUUGAUUUCGGUCAGACCAACUCACUCAAACUCGGUCGAACCGAAAGCAUUUAGACUGAUCUAGGUUUUCACCUCGGUGAAACCGAGUUGUGAUUUUCGGCGUGACCGAAGUGCAUAACUGCCUAGCAGUUAUCCAUCUCGGUGCCACCAAGUUUUACAACUCGGUCCCACCGACAGCGAAGGGGUAUAUACUCCGAGGGCCGCGCGCGUUGAUUCCUCCUUCAAACGUUUCGCCCCCACACCCCUUGCUGCCGUCGCCUUGGUCUCCGGAUCGUCACCGUCGUCGCCUGUGCGCCCUCGCCGCAGGUCUCCGUCGCCGUCAACGGACAUCUCCUCCGCGCCGUUGCCGCCGUAGAAAAACUCCACCAAGUUAGGGUGAGUUUUGAUCCCACUCGUGCUCCCAUCUCCGAUUCAAUGCACGUUUGGAUUGCCUAGUAUCUUGCCACGAUUGAAAUCCUCCUGUACACCAGAUUAGUUCGUUUGGACUAGAUUCGAGUAAAAGUUUUAGGGUUAGGUUUCCGCCGAACACAUCUCGGUGAGACCGAUUUUAUAAUUUCGGUAUGACCGAUUUGGCCUAUGGCCAUUGCACUGCACCUUUUGGUCCAACCGAGUUGUGCAAAAUCGGUGUGACCGAAGUGAAGAUUCUGUGAAACCCUAGUGUUUUCGGCAGGACCGAAACCCACUUCGGUCAAACCGAAAGUGGUGUGCCAAGCUCCUGUUUAACACUUCGGAUUCACCGAACCUUAAACUCGGUCUGACCGAAAUGUCUUCUGUGAAAACGUAAUACUAGAAUUUGAACUCAUUUUUUUUGCAAAAACUUCUGCAGUUUGUGAUAACUCUUCUUCUCUGCCUACACCUUAUCUAUUCACAGGUUGUCAGCCAUGUCAGAUGCCAGUGACAGUCAGAACAGCUCAAAAACACCCAUUGCAGACAUUCCAGAGGCGGGCACUAGUCCUGAUCCUAGCAUCUCAUCAGAUGAUGGUGAGAGGAGUACACCAAGUGGAUUGCCUCCUGCAGCCACCAGAGCUAGAAAGAAGAGGAAUUCAGAUGAUGAGGAUUCAGAUUUUGUUGUUGAGGAAGAGGUAACCUCAAAGCCCAAAAGGAAGGUUGUUGCCAAAGAGCCACAGGGUCAACAAACUAAGAAGGGCACCAGCAAAGUCAAGCAGUCAACUGUUGCUAAGAAGCUGAAUUUGGGAGAGGCAGCUGCAAGCAAAGUGAAGAAAACCUCCAAGAGAAAGAGGAUAGUGCAUUAUGCAGUAGUAGAGAAUGAGGAUGAGGAAGCACCCCAGCCUCCUCAGAAGCCGAAGCUCAUGGGUGAUGCCAUUAAGGCUGGAGCCACAUCAAAGCCCAAGAAAUCUGCUCCAGCUAAGGCAGCUCCAGCAAAGCCUGCUACCAAGCCCAAGAAGACCGUCAGAAACAUUCCAGCGUCUGAAAAGAACAAGGAUGAUGUGCCACCAGCUGAGUCAGACGAUGAAGGACCAGUUUUGCUGAAACUUCGUCCAAAACUGCCACUCCAAGAUGAUGCUAAUCCUCAAGCUGAGGAUAUGAAGGCAAGGAAAGAUAGAGGUCUCAGGCUAUGGAGACAAACUGACCCAUAUGCCGUGAGGAGAAGAACUGCUGUAGAUCCCAGAUUUCACACCAGAGAGCAGCAGGACUUCUAUGAGACCGUGCUGAUGGACAAGAAGCCCAUAGUCGCAGACACCCGAUAUGUUGACUGGAAGUACAUUGACAGCGAAGAGCACAGAGAUUUCUUUCCACAUGUGCAUGAAAGUUUCACUGCAUGUGGCGUUGCAGACUUUGUAGGUCAGAAAUUGACCAGUUGGAAUGAUGAGAUGAUAAUGCAAUUCUAUACCACAGCUCACUUCUACCCUGAUGGAAAGAUUACGUGGAUGACUGAAGGUCAAAGGUUUUCUUCUUCUGUUGAAGAAUGGGCAGAAAUUCUGAAUGCUCCAGUGCAACGAGAAGAUGAUAUUGAUGUAUAUGGGAUUCCAAAGAAGAAUCAUGAAUCCAUGAAGAACAUGUAUAAAGAGAUUCCAGCAGAGGAUUUGGGAAUCUGGAAGCUCGGCUCAGUCUACUAUCUCCAGGCAGGCCUACCUACCACUAAUACCAUUUUGAGGCAUACCUUGAUGCCCAAGUCUGGAGAUCAUCGCAUGAUCAGAGGAUACUCUAUCAACAUGCUGCACAUACUUGAUGAGAAAGCACCUUUCAAGGUGAUGGACUUGAUGGUAGAGACCAUUAAGAGGACUGCAGCUGACCAGAAAAGGUCAUGUGGAUUUGCCCCGCAGAUUCAGAUGCUUAUCAAUGCCAAGUUUGGCACGGGCACAUUCUUGUUGGAUAGAGAACAUUUACCGUUGCAGCCAGAGCAUGAAGACAAUGUUGUUGUGAUGGAUGAGGAGGAUCCAACAUCUGUUGAAGGUCAAGCCAAGAUUGAAGCUGCCAAGAAAGCCAAAGCUGACAAGGAAGCAGCAGCAGCAGCAGCUAAACCAAAGAAUUUCGGAGAGCAAAUUCUUGAAGCUACCCAAAGGAUUGAACAACGCCUGGCCAGCAUUGUACAGUCUCAGGAGAGCUUAGAGAGGAUUGUUGAGGACAAGAUCCACGCUUUGGAUGUGAAGCUGACUGAAGUGCAAGUGACUGUCAACAAGCUUGAGGCAGACAUUGAGGAAGCAAAGCGGGAGAAGGAAGAGCUUAUGCGUGAGAUGCAGGAUGACUUAGUCCAGGAUGCUUAUCAACAGACUGCUCCGGUUCCCACAGGACCCCGAUCAGCUGCUAUUCCAGUGACUGACACCAGGACUACAGCUUCAGCACCUCCCACAGUUCCAGCAGUUACUCCAACUCCAGCUCCAGUGACCACUCCUCCAGCACAGACAUCAGCUGAAGUCUUCGCCGAUGCUGUCAUAUCCACUCCAACAUCAACCCAGACGGGAGCCGCCAGCAGAGUCCACAGUGACGCUUAGCUUUAUGCUUUUUCGAACUUUUUGGUAACUUGUUGCCAAAGGGGGAGAAAUUGUAUAGAUCAUAGGACUUCGAGAGAGAGAGUGUUGUUGUCUUUUGCGCUUUCGUUCUUUCAUUCUUUUGCGGUUUCUUUGAGUUACUUUUGGUUUCCGAGACAUUCAGUGUGUUUGAUACUCCGUUUGAUUCUACCUUAAUGAGUGCUUGGUCGUACUAUGCUUUAAUGUGUGCUUAAUGCUUAUCAUAUGCCAUUCCUAUCUCGUAUGACCAUUUACUCAUGUCUUGGUGAUUGGGUGCAUGCUGUUCAUUCUUAUCAUUUUGUGUGCUCCACCAAGAUGUAUGUGACAUGGAAGAGUGACCCAUGAUCCUAAUCAAUUGUGCAUUUGCAUUCAAACGCAAAUCUUAAAUAAUGCACAAAUUUAGGGGGAGCUCUUGCUUAUCACAUACUUCUCAAAGCGACGAUAUUAUUCAUUGAUUAUAUCCUUUGUCGAAGCUUUGAUCUAUAUGUUGUCAUCAAUUACCAAAAAGGGGGAGAUUGAAAGUGCAACUAAUCCCCGGGUGGUUUUGGUAAUUAAUAACAACAUAUAUAUCAUUGAACUAAUAGUUACUUGAGAAUCAUUUCAGAAAGUUCAGUGAUAUGGGUAUGGCAAGGACUGAAGAAGUGGACCCCUCAAAAUGCUAAGGCAAGCAUUGGCAAAAGCUCAAGACUCCAUUUUUGGUUUAGUGAUCCAAGAUCACAUUGAGUCCAUAGGAAAAGCCAAUAUUAUUAAAAGGGGAUGAGGUUAUGAUGAUGAUCUGGUUGCUCAAGUGCUUAGUGAUACAUCUCCUAAACUAUCAGCAAUUUUCACUGCCAUAUACACUCAUAAGUAGUCUCGGUCCCACCGAUAUUCCAAACUCAGUCACACCGAGAUGAACCACCUCAGCCAUAAGCCAAACCCAAGAAAACUCGGAUUUUCCAAUUCUGAACUCGGUCUCACCGAAACAUGAGUUGCCAAGCUUCUGUAACCUUCUGUCAUCAAAUCGGUGUCACCGAGAUGAUGAAGUCGGUCCCACCGAAACUGGCAUGCUCUUGUCAUUGCACGAAUCGGACUAACUGAGAUUGUAUUUUCGGUCCCACCGAAAAUCCCAACAUUCACAUUAUUUGAACUAUCGGUCUCACCGAGUUGUCCACUUCGGUCCCACCGAGAUUGCUCAAAUGUGUGUAACGGUUGGAUUUUGUGUGGAGGCUAUUUAUACCCCUCCACCCCCUCUUCAUUCGUGGAGAGAGCCAUCAGAAAGAACUACCACUCCUAUCUUAUAUUUCUGAGAAGAGAACUACCUACCCUUGUGUUGAGAUCAAGUUGCUCCACUCCCACCAUAUGAAGCUUGAUCUCUAGCCUUCCCAAGUUGCUUUCCACUCAAUCCUUUCUUCCACCACAGCCAUAUCAGUGAGGAGAGUUGAGUGUUGGGGAGAUUAUCAUUUGAAGCACAAGAGCAAGGAGUUCAUCAUCAUCUACAACAUCUAUUACCUUUUGGAGGGUGGUGCCUCCUAGAUUGGUUAGGUGUCGCUUGGGAGCCUCCGUCAUCGAGAUGUGGAGUUGAACCAAGAAGUUUGUAAGGGCAAGGAGAUCGCCUACUUCGUGAAGAUCUACCCCGAGUAAGGCUAGCCCUCCGUGGGCGUAGGCCAUGAUGGAAUAGACAAGGUUGCUUCUUCGUGGACCCUUCGUGGGUGGAGCCCUCCGUGGACUCGCGCAGCCGUUACCCUCCGUGGGUUGAAGUCUCCAUCAACGUGGAAGUACGAUAGCACCACCUAUCGGAACCACGAGAAAAAUCACCGCGUCUCCAAAAUUGUGUUUGCUCUUCUCCACCUCUCUUUACUACAUGUGCAAUUUACUUUCCGCUGCCUAUACUCUAGAAUUGCAUGUGUAGGGUGAUGCUUGACUUGAUCAUAAGUGUGAAUCUGCCAAAAACUGUUCUUUAUCAAAAGGGAGAAUUUUUAUAUUGUCAAGUAGUCUAAUCACCCCCCCUCUAGACAUACUUUCGAUCCUACA